rnacentral:rRNA from 1 species
UAGGGAAUCUUCGGCAAUGGACGAAAGUCUGACCGAGCAACGCCGCGUGAGUGAAGAAGUUUUUCGGAUCGUAAAACUCUGUUGUUAGAGAAGAACAAGGACGUUAGUAACUGAACGUCCCCUGACGGUAUCUAACCAGAAAGCCACGGCUAACUACGUGCCAGCAGCCGCGGUAAUACGUAGGUGGCAAGCGUUGUCCGGAUUUAUUGGGCGUAAAGCGAGCGCAGGCGGUUUCUUAAGUCUGAUGUGAAAGCCCCCGGCUCAACCGGGGAGGGUCAUUGGAAACUGGGAGACUUGAGUGCAGAAGAGGAGAGUGGAAUUCCAUGUGUAGCGGUGAAAUGCGUAGAUAUAUGGAGGAACACCAGUGGCGAAGGCGGCUCUCUGGUCUGUAACUGACGCUGAGGCUCGAAAGCGUGGGGAGCAAACAGG